UGUAAUAUUUUGUGCCAGUUCUUAUUCUGUUCAUUCUUUUGAUACUAUACGUGAAAUUUGGCGAUUGCCUUCUUUUGUGGCACGCUGGUCCAGAAUCAAUAGCUCACCAAAUUUGUUAAAGGAACAGCUGGAGAUUUAAUGUAGUUUCUUCUCCAAGAACUGGUGCAAAUAAUGUUGGCUCUAAAUAUCAGGAUUACUUGAAAUUAUUUGAGGUUCCUUUCACUCUGGAGGGUUAUAGUCGUUUUUUUUGUGGUUUCUAGUUUGAACAUCAAGAUUAUGGGGGCCAUCUGUUGUGUGGCUGCUCCAAGGAAGAAACCUUUGUUUUCUUGUUACAAGAUGAGCGGCAGUCAUUCUGCUUAUAAGAAUGCUGGAUGCUCCUCUAGAUGGAGCUUUCUACGUGGCAACCGAACUCAUACAAUGGAUGUUUUCGACAACCAUUCUGAGUUUUCUCAUCACAACAGUGGGAAUAUUGACUCAGAAUUUAAGCAUCGCAUAGAAACAGAUCAUGAAGGUCUUCUAGCUGGGAAGACACCGGUAGCAGCUUCUCAGGCACUCAGACAACUGAAGUCUUCUGAUUAAUUGAGCAUUGGUUGUAGCUCCAAAGUGGCUGCUGAAGAUGGAUCCAUCAGAAGAAAUUUACCCUUCAAUGUGAGCUGGAAUAAAAUGGAGACAUUUAUUAGAUAUUCCUAUUCAUUCUUUGCUGUUAAUUUUCAUGAUUGAUGCUCAAUUAAGUUUGCUUUGAUUUUAACAUUGCAUUCUUUUAACCUAGCAUAGGAAAGAGACUCCAGUAGAUCACAAGUAAUUGCACCAUGUAUUGAGCCAUCAAUUUCUCCAUCUACAUCGGCUUCUAAAGCAGGCCCAUCAUCUUUGAAGACAAGCCCAAACAUCAAGUAUGAUAUCAAGACUACUCUCAGAUAACAGAGUUCCACCUGUCAAAUCUUUAAAUGAGGACAGCUCUCUUGAAGGAAGGCAGUCUUUUGUUCUUCCGGGCACUGACUUAAUCCAAUGAUGGGAUCCCAGAUUCCCAGGUUGGGUCUUUUGAUGUUUGGCCUUCAGUUGAUAUCUCUGAAUUGAUGUCCUCUUCCCAAGGAGAGACAUGGUCAUUUGGAAGCGGACACUCAAGUUACUGCACCAACAAAACUUGCAAAUUCAAGCACUCAGCUUUCAUCAACUUUCCUUUAUUCUGAUUCACAAAUGUGCAGAGUAUGCUCAAAGGUAUUGAAUGAUAGAUUCUUUGUGGAGUAGCCAGAAACUAGUUCUGAACAAAGA